UCGAGAAUCUUCCACAAUGGACGAAAGUCUGAUGGAGCGACGCCGCGUGAUUGAUGAAGUCCUUAGGGACGUAAAGAUCUUUUAUGAGGGAAGAAAUUAUUGACGGUACCUCAUGAAUAAGGGGCUCCUAAUCUCGUGCCAGCAGGAGCGGUAAUACGAGAGCCCCGAGCGUUAUCCGGAAUUAUUGGGCGUAAAGGGUGCGUAGGUGGCAGUGUUAGUCGAGUGUUAAAUCUCCGAGCUUAACUUGGAAACCGCAUUCGAAACGGCACAGCUAGAGAGUGUGAGAGGUAUAUGGAACUCUAAGUGUAGGGGUGAAAUCCGUUGAUAUUUAGGGGAACACCAAAAGCGAAGGCAAUAUACUGACACACAUCUGACACUCAAGCACGAAAGCGUGGGUAGCGAAUGGG
rnacentral:rRNA from 1 species